rnacentral:rRNA from 1 species
GACGAACGCUGGCGGCGUGCUUAACACAUGCAAGUCGAACGGAAAGGCCUCUUUCGGGGGGUACUCGAGUGGCGAACGGGUGAGUAACACGUGAGUAACCUGCCCUUGACUUUGGAAUAACUUCAGGAAACUGGGGCUAAUACCGGAUAGGAGCUCCUGCUGCAUGGUGGGGGUUGGAAAGUUUCGGCGGUUGGGGAUGGACUCGCGGCUUAUCAGCUUGUUGGUGGGGUAGUGGCUUACCAAGGCUUUGACGGGUAGCCGGCCUGAGAGGGUGACCGGCCACAUUGGGACUGAGAUACGGCCCAGACUCCUACGGGAGGCAGCAGUGGGGAAUAUUGCACAAUGGGUGGAAGCCUGAUGCAGCAACGCCGUGUGCGGGAUGACGGCCUUCGGGUUGUAAACCGCUUUCGCUCAUGACGAAGCUUUGUGUGACGGUAGUGGGUAAAGAAGCACCGGCUAACUACGUG